AAAGUACAAUGAGUAGUAUAUAGUGCUUGUGCCUUGAUUGAGGAGAUUCCGGUUCGAAUCCAGGCUAUUGUGCUAGCAUCUAGGGAACUAGGUGCUUUUAUGA
rnacentral:sRNA from 1 species